rnacentral:rRNA from 1 species
AUUGAACGCUGGCGGCAUGCCUUACACAUGCAAGUCGAACGGUAACAGGUCUUCGGAUGCUGACGAGUGGCGAACGGGUGAGUAAUACAUCGGAACGUGCCUAGUAGUGGGGGAUAACUACUCGAAAGAGUGGCUAAUACCGCAUGAGAUCUACGGAUGAAAGCAGGGGAUCGCAAGACCUUGUGCUACUAGAGCGGCCGAUGGCAGAUUAGGUAGUUGGUGGGAUAAAAGCUUACCAAGCCGACGAGCUGUAGCCGGUCUGAGAGGACGAUCAGCCACACUGGGACUGAGACACGGCCCAGACUCCUACGGGAGGCAGCAGUGGGGAAUUUUGGACAAUGGGCGCAAGCCUGAUCCAGCAAUGCCGCGUGCAGGAUGAAGGCCUUCGGGUUGUAAACUGCUUUUGUACGGAACGAAAAGCCCUGGGUUAAUACCCUGGGGUCAUGACGGUACCGUAAGAAUAAGCACCGGCUAACUACGUGCCAGCAGCCGCAGUAA